CUACCUCUGAGGAUUCUGUUGGAGUGGUGGGUUGGGGUUUGAGAAAGUGGUUGAUGGUUGAAAAGAGCUGUUUUGAAUUUCCAGGGGUAUUGUUUAUGAUAUUGGAAUAGAACUGGGCACGUGCAGUCCCAAGGGCUUUUGAGUAGGCCUUCUGAUGUUCUUUGUAGGCCUGUUUGUGCACGGUCAGUCCUGAGGCUUUAAGACGACGCUCCAGGAUGCGUCCAGUUGACUUCAUCAGACGCAGCUCACUGGUGUACCAGGGGGCUGAGCGUGAAAAGGUGACUGUUUUGUUAUUUUUUGGGGGG